AACGAACGCUGGCGGCAUGCCUAACACAUGCAAGUCGAACGAUGCUUUCGGGCAUAGUGACGCACGGGUGCGUAACGCGUGGGAAUCUGCCCUUUGGUUCGGAAUAACAGUUGGAAACGACUGCUAAUACCGGAUGAUGACGUAAGUCCAAAGAUUUAUCGCCAGAGGAUGAGCCCGCGUGAGAUUAGGUAGUUGGUGGGGUAAAGGCCUACCAAGCCGACGAUCUCUAGCUGGUCUGAGAGGAUGAUCAGCCACACUGGGACUGAGACACGGCCCAGACUCCUACGGGAGGCAGCAGUGGGGAAUAUUGGACAAUGGGCGAAAGCCUGAUCCAGCAAUGCCGCGUGAGUGAUGAAGGCCUUAGGGUUGUAAAGCUCUUUUACCCGGGAUGAUAAUGACAGUACCGGGAGAAUAAGCCCCGGCUAACUCCGUGCCAGCCGCCGCGGUAA
rnacentral:rRNA from 1 species